rnacentral:rRNA from 1 species
UUAAGCGACUAAGCGUACACGGUGGAUGCCCUGGCAGUCAGAGGCGAUGAAGGACGUGCUAAUCUGCGAUAAGCGUCGGUAAGGUGAUAUGAACCGUUAUAACCGGCGAUUUCCGAAUGGGGAAACCCAGUGUGAUUCGUCACACUAUCAUUAACUGAAUCCAUAGGUUAAUGAGGCGAACCGGGGGAACUGAAACAUCUAAGUACCCCGAGGAAAAGAAAUCAACCGAGAUUCCCCCAGUAGCGGCGAGCGAACGGGGAGCAGCCCAGAGCCUGAAUCAGUGUGUGUGUUAGUGGAAGCGUCUGGAAAGGCGCGCGAUACAGGGUGACAGCCCCGUACACAAAAAUGCACAUGCUGUGAGCUCGAUGAGUAGGGCGGGACACGUGGUAUCCUGUCUGAAUAUGGGGGGACCAUCCUCCAAGGCUAAAUACUCCUGACUGACCGAUAGUGAACCAGUACCGUGAGGGAAAGGCGAAAAGAACCCCGGCGAGGGGAGUGAAAAAGAACCUGAAACCGUGUACGUACAAGCAGUGGGAGCACAGAGCAAUCUGUGUGACUGCGUACCUUUUGUAUAAUGGGUCAGCGACUUAUAUUCUGUAGCAAGGUUAACCGAAUAGGGGAGCCGAAGGGAAACCGAGUCUUAACUGGGCGUUAAGUUGCAGGGUAUAGACCCGAAACCCGGUGAUCUAGCCAUGGGCAGGUUGAAGGUUGGGUAACACUAACUGGAGGACCGAACCGACUAAUGUUGAAAAAUUAGCGGAUGACUUGUGGCUGGGGGUGAAAGGCCAAUCAAACCGGGAGAUAGCUGGUUCUCCCCGAAAGCUAUUUAGGUAGCGCCUCGUGAAUUCAUCUCCGGGGGUAGAGCACUGUUUCGGCAAGGGGGUCAUCCCGACUUACCAACCCGAUGCAAACUGCGAAUACCGGAGAAUGUUAUCACGGGAGACACACGGCGGGUGCUAACGUCCGUCGUGAAGAGGGAAACAACCCAGACCGCCAGCUAAGGUCCCAAAGUCAUGGUUAAGUGGGAAACGAUGUGGGAAGGCCCAGACAGCCAGGAUGUUGGCUUAGAAGCAGCCAUCAUUUAAAGAAAGCGUAAUAGCUCACUGGUCGAGUCGGCCUGCGCGGAAGAUGUAACGGGGCUAAACCAUGCACCGAAGCUGCGGCAGCGACGCUUAUGCGUUGUUGGGUAGGGGAGCGUUCUGUAAGCCUGUGAAGGUGUACUGUGAGGUAUGCUGGAGGUAUCAGAAGUGCGAAUGCUGACAUAAGUAACGAUAAAGCGGGUGAAAAGCCCGCUCGCCGGAAGACCAAGGGUUCCUGUCCAACGUUAAUCGGGGCAGGGUGAGUCGACCCCUAAGGCGAGGCCGAAAGGCGUAGUCGAUGGGAAACAGGUUAAUAUUCCUGUACUUGGUGUUACUGCGAAGGGGGGACGGAGAAGGCUAUGUUGGCCGGGCGACGGUUGUCCCGGUUUAAGCGUGUAGGCUGGUUUUCCAGGCAAAUCCGGAAAAUCAAGGCUGAGGCGUGAUGACGAGGCACUACGGUGCUGAAGCAACAAAUGCCCUGCUUCCAGGAAAAGCCUCUAAGCAUCAGGUAACAUCAAAUCGUACCCCAAACCGACACAGGUGGUCAGGUAGAGAAUACCAAGGCGCUUGAGAGAACUCGGGUGAAGGAACUAGGCAAAAUGGUGCCGUAACUUCGGGAGAAGGCACGCUGAUAUGUAGGUGAAGUCCCUCGCGGAUGGAGCUGAAAUCAGUCGAAGAUACCAGCUGGCUGCAACUGUUUAUUAAAAACACAGCACUGUGCAAACACGAAAGUGGACGUAUACGGUGUGACGCCUGCCCGGUGCCGGAAGGUUAAUUGAUGGGGUUAGCGCAAGCGAAGCUCUUGAUCGAAGCCCCGGUAAACGGCGGCCGUAACUAUAACGGUCCUAAGGUAGCGAAAUUCCUUGUCGGGUAAGUUCCGACCUGCACGAAUGGCGUAAUGAUGGCCAGGCUGUCUCCACCCGAGACUCAGUGAAAUUGAACUCGCUGUGAAGAUGCAGUGUACCCGCGGCAAGACGGAAAGACCCCGUGAACCUUUACUAUAGCUUGACACUGAACAUUGAGCCUUGAUGUGUAGGAUAGGUGGGAGGCUUUGAAGUGUGGACGCCAGUCUGCAUGGAGCCGACCUUGAAAUACCACCCUUUAAUGUUUGAUGUUCUAACGUUGACCCGUAAUCCGGGUUGCGGACAGUGUCUGGUGGGUAGUUUGACUGGGGCGGUCUCCUCCUAAAGAGUAACGGAGGAGCACGAAGGUUGGCUAAUCCUGGUCGGACAUCAGGAGGUUAGUGCAAUGGCAUAAGCCAGCUUGACUGCGAGCGUGACGGCGCGAGCAGGUGCGAAAGCAGGUCAUAGUGAUCCGGUGGUUCUGAAUGGAAGGGCCAUCGCUCAACGGAUAAAAGGUACUCCGGGGAUAACAGGCUGAUACCGCCCAAGAGUUCAUAUCGACGGCGGUGUUUGGCACCUCGAUGUCGGCUCAUCACAUCCUGGGGCUGAAGUAGGUCCCAAGGGUAUGGCUGUUCGCCAUUUAAAGUGGUACGCGAGCUGGGUUUAGAACGUCGUGAGACAGUUCGGUCCCUAUCUGCCGUGGGCGCUGGAGAACUGAGGGGGGCUGCUCCUAGUACGAGAGGACCGGAGUGGACGCAUCACUGGUGUUCGGGUUGUCAUGCCAAUGGCACUGCCCGGUAGCUAAAUGCGGAAGAGAUAAGUGCUGAAAGCAUCUAAGCACGAAACUUGCCCCGAGAUGAGUUCUCCCUGACCCUUUAAGGGUCCUGAAGGAACGUUGAAGACGACGACGUUGAUAGGCCGGGUGUGUAAGCGCAGCGAUGCGUUGAGCUAACCGGUACUAAUGAACCGUGAGGCUUAACCU